UCUCACCCUCUCUCAUCUCUCUUUCUCUCAUUCCAUAGAGAGCUGUCCGCCACCAUCGCAAGGAGCACCCAUCUCUGACCAGCCACCGUCGCACACGAGCACCCAUCUCCGACCAACGACAAUACCACAUCACACACCGUGGACAGUUGCGUUUGAAUUUGUAAAUAGAAUGAGAAGAUGAAGGGGAGCUAAAAGGAAUCAUUCACUGAUCACCGCCAUCGCGACGCCGCUGACCAACUCUCAUCUUGCCGUCAUCUUCUCUCGACGAAACCACCGAUCACCUUUCAUUUCCUCUCACCCUCCUCUUGCAAGGUGUGGCCUCCACUUGGAUUGAAGAAGUUCAAGACCCUGUCUUACCUUCCUCCACUCUCUCUUAUACAAUUGGGAAAAGAAGUUGAUUACCUUAUUCGCCUGGCAUGGAUUCCUUGCUUAGAAUUCUCUGUUGAG